UGCAGAACCGAAUCCCAGCAGCACGCGGAAGUAGCGUCCUGUAAAUGAGAGAGUGCAACGUGUCAGUCAGUAGUCGGUCGCCUUGGGAGUUUCUGGAGUGGCCACCAUCACUGUCCAACGUGAGGGCCACAAAGUCUAACUUGUCCACCCCAAAGGCGGCGAAGGAGCUGCCAGGCAGCCUAGAGUCCCUUGGGGACACGAUGCCACUGUGAAGACAGGAGUAAGGGCUGAGCGUGGUCCAGGGCUCCAGGUCCUCGGCCCCAUCCCUAAUCACACGUCCCCCUCGCUGGCUGGCAACUAUAAAAUCAAUCAAUGAAGGGACACACGCCAGGCUGUAACCUGUGACUUUGGUAGUUUCCUGAAUGGACUUCCGCCCUGCCCACCUGAGAGAGCGUCCACUCAUCCUGUUAAUGCACGCGAAUAAAGUCACAGAACAUCGUGUGGCCUUUUGAAGGAGCCUCGCAUCUGCUACCUGAAUGGCUCACAGUGGGGUUUAAGGUUCGAAAGAGCUUCUUGAAGAUGGAAGACCUUAAUUCUGAAUUCAUUCAACCCUUGAAAGAAACUCAUCAUGCAAUUAAUUCCCUCUGGUUAAUUGAACAUCUUGAUGAUGGGACUUGUUAUUCAAAAAACGAAGCUGCUCCUAGCCGCGGAGCUGUUAGUUGCAAACAUCUAGUAAUUAUACAUGAAGAAAAGUUAAUCCCAAAAUAAAGAGAAUUUAUAGAGA